UGGCUUAUACCAGGGUGAUGACUGAGGU
rnacentral:piRNA from 1 species